AAAAGAACCAAAUCAGUCUGUAAGUUGCUACAGAUUGUUGCUAUGAAUUAUCCCAAAGCCUUUGUGCCAGCAUAUUGAUUGCCUUAAAGUCAAGUGAGAAUAGAUGCACAGCUUAGAAGAGCCAUAAAAAACCCUCUACAGGAGCAAAGAGAUUAUUCAUCCAUACCAUUUAAAAAUGUAGCUUGUAGGUACACGAGUAUGAUUAGCGAAUAAGUGCAGCUCUGACAACUUCAAAAUUGUGACACAUGCAGCCAACUCUCUGCCAAUUCCUUAAAUAAGUUGAUUGCCUAGAAGGAAGCUUUUCUGAUUAGUAAUAGAAGAUACAGGUCAUCACCUUCAUUCUGCAAUGGAGCUCCAGCAUCUAAUGUAUGUAGAGACACUCACCUGUAGACGUGGUAACCUGGAAUUGUCUCCCACCUCCAAUUUCUCCCUCUUGUCAGGGGAGCUACAGGAACACUAAGGGAUGGUCCAUCCCAACCUGUUACUAGGAGAAGCUGAGUGAGUCACUGCCUGCAGGUUCCCGUGUCUGUGUACUCACUGGAGAAGACAUCCAGAAUGCCAGUUUACCCUGGAUACCAGCUACUACAGGGACGGAAUCAGACGACAUCGAUCCUCUCCCUGUGAUUCCCUUCAGCAAAUAUCCCAGCAAAGGCUGCAGCCAGCACCGCUGGUUUCAGAGGAAAGGACAAAGACAUUUGCUCAAAGGAAGGUUCCUACCUGUCAGUGUUUGGGGAGGAAGUGUACAGCUUGCAUGAAGAUUACGUUGGAGCCCUUCAAAAAUCGAUUCUCAGGAGUUUGCAGAUCUCAGCCUCAGUAACAGGAUCCCAUCUCUGGAUAAAGAACAAGAAACCACUGAAGAGUGGAGAAGCCAGACCUCCUGUAGUAUGCAGUGGCCCAUCUUCAGCAGAGUAUAGUCCCAUGAAGAUUUUAGAUCACACUGGUGGAAAAACAUCCCUGGAGAAUAAGAACUGUGGUACCUCUCUCAGGCAGAUGAAAGUCUUGGUCCCAGACUUGCUUCAUUUUCACAAGAGUUCUAGCCAGAAGAGACAAAAUUCAGCUGCAGAUGCUUCUUCCUCUUCCUUCUUGGUCAGCCAUGCUCCCUCACACAACAUGGGCUUUGUGGCCCAGUUUUUGACCUGGAGAAAGGAACGGAGAAAGAACUGUGCCAACAGCCAUUAGUGAUGGAUCUGACAUGCAGUCUUAGAACCUGUGAAGAUCAAGGUUUGGAAAUUGUUCCUGGAAACAAAGAUCUGCAUGUGGGUUGGAAUAAUUAAAGGCAACAGCUCAGGCUGAGGAGUGCCUGACUAGGAAUCAUCCUUGCAGAACAGACUUGGGGUGCUGAGGUACAAGGAGUUGAACAUGACUUUUGCCAACAAGUUUUAUAAUGAGAAAUGUUAACUGCACAAAGGGCUGCGUUGGCAAAACAGCUGAGCAUCUGAGCAAGUGGGUUUCCCCCUCUGCUUUUCGUGUGUAAGGAGAACACAUCCAGACUACUGAGUUCAGUUUGGAUUUCACAGAAUAAAAAAGUCAUCAAUGAGCUAAAGCA
rnacentral:lncRNA from 1 species